AUUGAACGCUGGCGGCAGGCUUAACACAUGCAAGUCGAGCGAGCGGCGGACGGGUGUGUAAUGUCUGGGAAACUGCCUGAUGGAGGGGGAUAACUACUGGAACCGGUAGCUAAUACCGCAUACCAUCAGAUGUGCCCAUAUGGGAUGAGCUAGUAGGUGGGGUAAUGGCUCACCAAGGCGACGAUCCCUAGCUGGUCUGAGAGGAUGACCGGCCACAAUGGAACUGAGACACGGUCCAGACUCCUACGGUAGGCAGCAGUGGGGAAUAUUGCGCAAUGGGCGAAAGCCGGAUGGAGCCCUGCCGAGUGAGUUAAGAAGGCCUUCGGGUUGUAAAGCACUUUCAGCGGGGAGGCGUUACUCGCAGAAGAAGCACCGGCUAACUCCGUGCCAGCAGCCGCGGUAAUUC
rnacentral:rRNA from 1 species